UGCGUAGGGUGCGAGCGUUAAUCGGAAUUACUGGGCGUAAAGCGGGCGCAGGCGGUUUGUUAAGUCAGAUGUGAAAUCCCCGGGCUCAACCUGGGAACUGCAUCUGAUACUGGCAAGCUUGAGUCUCGUAGAGGGGGGUAGAAUUCCAUGUGUAGCGGUGAAAUGCGUAGAGAUGUGGAGGAAUACCGGUGGCGAAGGCGGCCCCCUGGACAAAGACUGACGCUCAGGUGCGAAAGCGUGGGGAGCAAACAGG
rnacentral:rRNA from 1 species